GGGCGGCCGCAGCUGCUCUGGGCAGCCUGUGCUUAAGGCCGCCCCAGCCGCACAGCGUUAGGAUUUCUAUUAGGAUUUCUUCCUAAUAUCGAAUGGAAACCUUCGCUCUUCCAGGUUAAACCCAUUCCGCCGGGUCCUGUCUCUACGUGCUCUUGCUGAGCAAUAUUUGAGUCAUCUGCCUGUGCCCAUGGAUUACAGCAAUGGAAAACUUUAAACCAUUUAUGUGGAUUCCAGAAUCCCUUCGGCCGAGCCUCGCUGUGAAAACUGAAGGACUCAGGAUAUAUCAGCGUGGACAGAGGAACAUCACGGGUCGCAUGUCUGGUUAUUAAAGGCAUCAUGUUGACAAAUGUGUUCAUAUCAAUAUUGUGGCUAUUUUAAAAGAAAAAUGUACAUUUUGGUGUACAGCUGAAUCAAUACCUGCUAAAUUAUGUUGAAUAAGCAGUGAUGAAUACCAUCGUGAUCUGUUGCUUUGGUGGGACAAGGGCAAUCCUUUGGAGUUCACAUUCAGAUAUAAAUGUAUCCAUUUAUUGCCCUCUAGGAGAGGGUCCCAAAAGGCAAACAAGACAGAAUAGUGAAUUUCUGAUCUGUGUCUAGUACAUACACAGUGAUACAAACCUGGGGUUCAGGGGGUUGUCCAUUUCUUGUGACUCUCUGAGGCUUAGCUGAGUACUGGGGGAAAUAUUUGCCUUUUAAAUCAUGAACACCUGUUGAUAAAAUCUUAUAAUACCACGUUUCAAAUAAAAGGACAGCUCUAAAACUGGCAGGUGUCUUGAACUCAAAGUAGAACUUUGGCAGCAGAAGUUACGGGGUUAUAAAAUAUGGCAAGCUCUGUCUAGAUGCUCUGUUCUAAAAUUUCCUUUGAGAUCCAUCUCUUCCUUCCUGUGUAAAUCUUCCUUUUUCUCAUUCUGUUCAUUUUAACAAUAAUUAUUUGGACAUAGUUUGUGAUACAGUCUUAACCAUACCUAAGUUGUAAUGAUGAAAUUAAUCAAGUCAUCAUGAAUUUAAUCAUUUCUUUGCAAUGUCAUGUUAUUUCCAGCUGCAUCCAUUUAUAGUUUACAGGUUAUCAUUCUACAGCACCAGUUUAACAAUGGCUUGUUAAAAAUAAAUGCUCAAAUCUGUUG